rnacentral:rRNA from 1 species
GAUGGCUCUGCUAUCACUUAUAGAUGGACCUGCGCCGUAUUAGCUAGUUGGUAAGGUAACGGCUUACCAAGGCAACGAUACGUAGCCGACCUGAGAGGGUGAUCGGCCACACUGGAACUGAGACACGGUCCAGACUCCUACGGGAGGCAGCAGUAGGGAAUCUUCCGCAAUGGGCGAAAGCCUGACGGAGCAACGCCGCGUGAGUGAUGAAGGUCUUCGGAUCGUAAAACUCUGUUAUUAGGGAAGAACAAACGUGUAAGUAACUGUGCACGUCUUGACGGUACCUAAUCAGAAAGCCACGGCUAACUACGUGCCAGCAGCCGCGGUAAUACGUAGGUGGCAAGCGUUAUCCGGAAUUAUUGGGCGUAAAGCGCGCGUAGGCGGUUUUUUAAGUCUGAUGUGAAAGCCCACGGCUCAACCGUGGAGGGUCAUUGGAAACUGGAAAACUUGAGUGCAGAAGAGGAAAGUGGAAUUCCAUGUGUAGCGGUGAAAUGCGCAGAGAUAUGGAGGAACACCAGUGGCGAAGGCGACUUUCUGGUCUGUAACUGACGCUGAUGUGCGAAAGCGUGGGGAUCAAACAGGAUUAGAUACCCUGGUAGUCCACGCCGUAAACGA